ncrna:unclassified sequences skipping-rope RNA
AUUAUUUAAGGAUAGUAAGGCAGCUAUCACGCCAGAGAUGGUCUUAAAAGAAACGUGGGGAACGCCGUCCCACUAAAUAAU